CCUACGGGAGGCAGCAGUGAGGAAUAUUGGACAAUGGGCGCAAGCCUGAUCCAGCCAUGCCGCGUGCAGGAUGACGGUCCUAUGGAUUGUAAACUGCUUUUAUACGAGAAGAAACACCCCUACGUGUAGGGACUUGACGGUAUCGUAAGAAUAAGGAUCGGCUAACUCCGUGCCAGCAGCCGCGGUAAUACGGAGGAUCCAAGCGUUAUCCGGAAUCAUUGGGUUUAAAGGGUCCGUAGGCGGUUUAGUAAGUCAGUGGUGAAAUCUCCCCGCUCAACGGGGAAACGGCCAUUGAUACUGCUAGACUUGAAUUAUUAGGAAGUAACUAGAAUAUGUAGUGUAGCGGUGAAAUGCUUAGAGAUUACAUGGAAUACCAAUUGCGAAGGCAGGUUACUACUAAUGGAUUGACGCUGAUGGACGAAAGCGUGGGUAGCGAACAGGAUUAGAUACCCUGGUAGUCCACGCCGUAAACGAUGGAUACUAGCUGUUGGGUGACAAACUCAGUGGCUAAGCGAAAGUGAUAAGUAUCCCACCNCGGAGUACGUCGCGAGAAGAGAACGUAACGAAGAAGUAGACGCGUGAGAGUAGCGACGACGACGACGACGGGAGGAGG
rnacentral:rRNA from 1 species